GACGAACGCUGGCGGCGUGCUUAACACAUGCAAGUCGAACGGAAAGGCCCUGCUUUUGUGGGGUGCUCGAGUGGCGAACGGGUGAGUAACACGUGAGUAACCUGCCCUUGACUUUGGGAUAACUUCAGGAAACUGGGGUUAAUACCGGAUAGGAGCUCCUGCUGCAUGGUGGGGGUUGGAAAGUUUCGGCGGUUGGGGAUGGACUCGCGGCUUAUCAGCUUGUUGGUGGGGUAGUGGCUUACCAAGGCUUUGACGGGUAGCCGGCCUGAGAGGGUGACCGGCCACAUUGGGACUGCGAUACGGCCCAGAGUCCUACGGGAGGCAGCAGUGGGGAAUAUUGCACAAUGGGCGGAAGCCUGAUGCAGCAACGCCGCGUGCGGGAUGACGGCCUUCGGGUUGUAAACCGCUUUCGCCUGUGACGAAGCGUGAGUGACGGUAAUGGGUAAAGAAGCACCGGCUAACUACGUG
rnacentral:rRNA from 1 species